rnacentral:rRNA from 1 species
AUUGAACGCUGGCGACAGGCCUAACACAUGCAAGUCGAACGAGUGGCGGACGGGUGAGUAAUGUCUGGGAAACUGCCCGAUGGAGGGGGAUAACUACGGGAAACUGUAGCUAAUACCGCGUACCAUAGGAUGAGCCCAAGUGGGAUUAGGUAGUUGGUGAGGUAAAGGCUCACCAAGCCGACGAUCUCUAGCUGGUCUGAGAGGAUGACGAGCCACACUGGGACUGAGAAACGGCCCAGACUCCUACGGGAGGCAGCAGUGGGGAAUAUUGCGCAAUGGGGGCAACCCUGACACAGCCAUGCCGCGUGAAUGAAGAAGGCCUUCGGGUUGUAAAGUACUUUCAGCGGGGAGGCGUUACCCUCAGAAGAAGCACCGGAUAACUCCGUGCCAGCCGCCGCGGUAAUAC